GACGAACGCUGGCGGCGUGCUUAACACAUGCCAGUCGGACGGAAAGGCCCUGCUUUUGUGGGGUGCUCGAGUGGCGAACGGGUGAGUAACACGUGAGUAACCUGCCCUUGACUUUGGGAUAACUUCAGGAAACUGGGGCUAAUACCGGAUAGGAGCUCCUGCUGCAUGGUGGGGGUUGGAAAGUUUCGGCGGUUGGGGAUGGACUCGCGGCUUAUCAGCUUGUUGGUGGGGUAGUGGCUUACCAAGGCUUUGACGGGUAGCCGGCCUGAGAGGGUGAACGGCCACAUUGGGACUGAGAUACGGACCAGACUCCUACGGGAGGCAGCAGUGGGGAAUAUUGCACAAUGGGCGGAAGCCUGAUGCAGCAACGCCGCGUGCGGGAUGACGGCCUUCGGGUUGUAAACCGCUUUCGCCUGUGACGAAGCGUGAGUGACGGUAAUGGGUAAAGAAGCACCGGCUAACUACGUG
rnacentral:rRNA from 1 species